rnacentral:lncRNA from 1 species
UGCAGGCAGUAAUACCUUCAAAGGUGGAGACCUCUGCAAAAUUCUUUUUGACCUUGAAGAAAGUCAAGAUGAGGCAUAUUUCGAAGAGCAAUUAGAUGAAUGUGCCCCAGAUGACUGCGAAAAAAUAGAGCCGCUGGAGACGCUUCUAGAAGAAAACCACAAAUUAAAGGAGAAUCAGUUGUGUAAGAUAUGUAUGGACAGCCGUGCAGAUGUGAUUUUCCUUCCGUGCGGUCACAUGAUUAGCUGUCCACAAUGUGCUCCGGCUCUCACAAAAUGUCCAGUUUGCAGGAAAACUGUAAACGGACACAUCAAAGCUUUCUUUGCAACCACCAGUAUGAGUAGUCAAAAGAAUUGACGGAAUGAAUUUAUUAAGUGUCAAACUACGUGAAAGACCAAAAUUAUGCACAUGCGUGUUAUGUUGCCAGUCCUCUACUGAAGCGGUUCUGUUGUGGGAGGGUGAAUUUUAAAUACAUACUGUCCAAUUUUACAAGUGGAUUGUUCUUCACAUUUUUUUCUGUUCAGUACUGCCUAAAUUUCCAAUUUUUGAUUUUCGCGAAACAAUUUUUAAUUUGUCUAAAUAAACUAGUCAUCUUAUCUGCAAAAUGUGUUUUUAAAAGUUGCUAUUCUCGGAAUUCUGGAUUCAAAAACAUUUCAGGAUAUAAAGAAAUCUUACUGGAAGACAUCCCAGAUAAGUUUUAUUGAUAAAAUAGACGUAUCUUGGAGUUGUUGUAUAGGUAAAGAAGGAAAAUCUUAACUAGAGGAGAGAAUUUUCUUAAACUUGCAUGAUCUUUAAGCAUCAUAUAAGAAACAAAUUUAUAAAAAAUAUCGGGGGUCCAAAUGCUACUUUUUGAGUUAUCUGCCCCUGAAUGCGAGUUUUUUUUGCUCUAGGUCAUUUUCAAAAGCAGAUAACUCAAGGAAAUAGUUAGUUACACUUUAUUUGAUUUCCAGUUAGUGUUUGUUACUUAUUUCCCUAAACUGUACAAAAUUUGCAGAAAUUCUAUGAGACGAAUUUUAUUCUAUAGUCGCUUACGCAAACAAAUAGAAAAUAUCUUUAAAUUAUGCCCCCUUUUCCAAGAAAAAUGCAGUAUGCUUACUCAUAGAAAUACAGCAAAAAUUCUGUAUGACAGAAUAGUUAAAAACUUUGCGUAAUGACUGGAAAUGUAAUAACAAAAAAUAAAGUGAAAUGAAAUAAGCUAUCCGUACGCUAGAUUUUGAGUUGUCUGCCCUUGAAAAUGAUCUAAAAGAGCAAAAAAAAAGCGCAUCCAGGGGCAGAUAACUCAAAAAGUAGCAUGGGAACCCCUAAUAUUUUUUUUCAUAAAUUUGUUUCUAAUAUGAUGCUCUAUAAUCAUGCAAAUUUUCCUUCUUUGUAAUAUUAAAGUGAAUGCCCAAAAAGAUGCGCAUUGGCAACUCUCGGAUACGUAUUUAUGGUAUCCACUUAAAUGCUUCAAUAGAUAAUGGCAUGCCCGAUAUUUCAUAUCAUGAUUUAAGAAUUUUUAUAUUUCCUAUGUCCAUUGCUGCAUCUUUCUAAAUUUACUGCUACUUUAUUUUCCUUGAACCACAAGAAAAGAUGUCUGAGGCAUUUCGUUACAUGAUUUAAUUUUGUUUAUUUUAUACUAUGUUUGUUGAUCUGAAUACAUAUUUCAAAUCAUUUUGAAUUUAGGCCAAAUAUAUCGCGUAUGUUACACACGAGUAAUACAAGAAGGGAGUUAUGAUAUGAAAAAAAUGUAGUACAUCGUAGCCUUAUUUUUAGAAUGCCGUAAGUCC